AAUGGGGGAGACCCUGAUGCAGCCAUGCCGCGUGUGUGAAGAAGCCCUUCGGGUUGUAAAGCACUUUCAGCAGUGAGGAAGGUCGUGUACUUAAUACGUGCACGGCUUGACGUUAGCUGCAGAAGAAGCACCGGCUAACUCCGUGCCAGCAGCCGCGGUAAUACGGAGGGUGCGAGCGUUAAUCGGAAUUACUGGGCGUAAAGCGCAUGCAGGCGGUUUGUUAAGUCAGAUGUGAAAGCCCGGGGCUCAACCUCGGAACCGCAUUUGAAACUGGCAGGCUAGAGUCUUGUAGAGGGGGGUAGAAUUUCAGGUGUAGCGGUGAAAUGCGUAGAGAUCUGAAGGAAUACCAGUGGCGAAGGCGGCCCCCUGGACAAAGACUGACGCUCAGAUGCGAAAGCGUGGGUAGCAAACAGGAUUAGAUACCCUGGUAGUCCACGCCGUAAACGCUGUCUACUUGGAGGUUGAGGUUUUAGACUUUGGCUUUCGGCGCUAACGCAUUAAGUAGACCGCCUGGGGAGUACGGCCGCAAGGUUAAAACUCAAAUGAAUUGACGGGGGCCCGCACAAGCGGUGGAGCAUGUGGUUUAAUUCGAUGCAACGCGAAGAACCUUACCUACUCUUGACAUCCAGCGAAGCCUUUAGAGAUAGAGGCGUGCCUUCGGGAGCGCUGAGACAGGUGCUGCAUGGCUGUCGUCAGCUCGUGUUGUGAAAUGUUGGGUUAAGUCCCGCAACGAGCGCAACCCUUAUCCUUGUUUGCCAGCACGUAAUGGUGGGAACUCCAGGGAGACUGCCGGUGAUAAACCGGAGGAAGGUGGGGACGACGUCAAGUCAUCAUGGCCCUUACGAGUAGGGCUACACACGUGCUACAAUGGCAGAUACAGAGGGCAGCGAGACAGCGAUGUUUAGCGAAUCCCUUAAAGUUUGUCGUAGUCCGGAUUGGAGUCUGCAACUCGACUCCAUGAAGUCGGAAUCGCUAGUAAUCGUGGAUCAGAAUGCCACGGUGAAUACGUUCCCGGGCCUUGUACACACCGCCCGUCACACCAUGGGAGUGGGCUGCACC
rnacentral:rRNA from 1 species